UGGUCCUGCCACCUUGUGCAGUUUUCUGCCCUGUUCCCAGGCCCAGGCCUCCAAGUUCAAGGUGGAGGAUCUGCAUUUUAUUUUGCUGGACCUAAGGAGAUUCAGCUGAGGGAUUGUUGCAGUUAUGCUAGAGCGAGUGCCCUCCCCUACACUGAAAGAUUGUUUCUCUACUAUCACCAGAGAAGCUGAUCCCCACUGACUGAGCACUAAGUGACACUGGAACAUGAAGAGAACAAGGAAAGUUCAAGGAUACCACAGGUGACAUACUUGCUGUGAAGGCCAGGCUGGAUGAGCUUCUGAGCAACCUCAGAGUUGAAGAUU